AACUGGGUGACGUAAGCUAACGCGUUAAGCGAGGCGCCUGGGGAGUACGACCGCAAGGUUAAAACUCAAAGGAAUUGACGGGGGAGCGCACAACCGGUGGAGCAUGUGGUUUAAUUCGAUACAAAGCGAAGAACCUUACCUGGGUUUGACAUCUAGCUGCAAGUUCUAAGAAAUUAGGACCUCUUUUGAAGGUGCUAGACAGGUGAUGCAUGGCUGUCGUCAGCUCGUGUCGUGAGACGUCCGCUUAAGUGCGGUAACGAGCGCAACCCUUGUCGUCAGUUAUACGUGUCUGACGAGACUGCCCCUGCAGUGCAGGGGAGGAAGGAGAGGAUGACGUCAAGUCAGCAUGUCCCUUAUAUCCAGGGCGACACACAUCCUACAAUGGAGCCGACAACGGGUAGCGACGGGGUAACCCUGAGCCAAUCCUAAUAAACGGCCCCUCAGUUCAGAUUGAAGGCUGCAACCCGCCUUCAUGAAGUCGGAAUCGGUAGUAAUCGCAAAUCAGCAGGUUGCGGUGAAUACGUUCUCGCUCCUUGUACACACUGCCCGUCAAGCCAGCAAAGUCAGCAGCGCCCGAAGCGGGAGACUGUAACUCUUUUAGAGAGCAGCCCUUCUACG
rnacentral:rRNA from 1 species